ACGCUAGCUACAGGCUUAACACAUGCAAGUCGAGGGGAAACGGCAUUAAGUGCUUGCACUUUUUGGACGUCGACCGGCGCACGGGUGAGUAACGCGUAUCCAACCUUCCCAUGACUAAGGGAUAACCUGCCGAAAGGCAGACUAAUACCUUAUGGUCUUCACUGACGGCAUCAGAUGUGAAGUAAAGAUUUAUCGGUUAUGGAUGGGGAUGCGUCUGAUUAGCUUGUUGGCGGGGUAACGGCCCACCAAGGCAACGAUCAGUAGGGGUUCUGAGAGGAAGGUCCCCCACAUUGGAACUGAGACACGGUCCAAACUCCUACGGGAGGCAGCAGUGAGGAAUAUUGGUCAAUGGGCGAGAGCCUGAGCCAGCCAAGUAGCGUGCAGGAUGACGGCCCUAUGGGUUGUAAACUGCUUUUGUAUGGGGAUAAAGUCAGUCACGUGUGAUUGUUUGCAGGUACCAUACGAAUAAGGACCGGCUAAUUCCGUGCCAGCAGCCGCGGUAAUACGGAAGGUCCGGGCGUUAUCCGGAUUUAUUGGGUUUAAAGGGAGCGUAGGCUGGAGAUUAAGUGUGUUGUGAAAUGUAGACGCUCAACGUCUGACUUGCAGCGCAUACUGGUUUCCUUGAGUACGCACAACGUUGGCGGAAUUCGUCGUGUAGCGGUGAAAUGCUUAGAUAUGACGAAGAACUCCGAUUGCGAAGGCAGCUGACGGGAGCGCAACUGACGCUGAAGCUCGAAGGUGCGGGUAUCGAACAGGAUUAGAUACCCUGGUAGUCCGCACAGUAAACGAUGGAUGCCCGCUGUUGGUACCUGGUAUCAGCGGCUAAGCGAAAGCAUUAAGCAUCCCACCUGGGGAGUACGCCGGCAACGGUGAAACUCAAAGGAAUUGACGGGGGCCCGCACA
rnacentral:rRNA from 1 species